AGAAAGUCAAAAUAUAAAAAUUUAAAAAGAAAAGUCGACUACGUAAGUAAGAGAUCAAAAUUCCUAUACACCUAACUACUAAUUAAAAAACUAUAUAAUAUACAACUUCAUUCUCAACUUUAUAUUUCCCCUACAACGUUGGAGCUUAAAAGAAAUAUAGUAUAAUUUUAAUCCAUCAUUUUUUUCUUGAUUUCCAAAUAUGAGUACUUUGACAACUUCUUUUCUUCCAUCACUUGAAAAAGAAAGCUCUCUUUUUGUUUACACAACAAGAAGAGGAGGACACUCCAAAAAGAGCCAAUCCAUAGUUCCGGUAAAUUAAUUGCUCGUAGCUAACAUAAUUUUUUUUAGAAUCUAUCACAUUAGCGGUGGAUUUUGUUUGUUUAGCUACAAAAAUUUUCCGUCGCUAAUUAUUUGUAUUAAUGUAUAUGUGAUUGAUGAUCUUAGGUGGCAAGGUUAUUUGGACCAUCAAUAUUUGAAGCAUCAAAGUUGAAGGUUCUUUUUUUAGGUGUAGAUGAGAAAAAACAUCCAGCAAAGCUUCCAAGAACAUAUACACUUACACAUAGUGAUAUUACAUGUAAACUCACUCUUGUUGUCUCUCAAACCAUCAAUAACUCUCAGGUAAUUUUCGUAAUAUACAAUAAUAAUUGAGUUUACUGUUAAACAUUAAGGCGGAAUGAUCUGAGAGGCAGUGGCGGACCCAGGAUUUUUGUCCAGGGGGUUCGAAAAAUAAAAGUAUAAACGUGUAAAUAAGCCUUUAGAAAUGGGAACCGUGAAUUUUUUUUUGAUUUAAAACCACACUUUUAGCACUUCUUUUAAAGUAAAAAAAAAACUUAAAAAAAAUGAAAAACAGAACUGAAAAUUUUAAAAAAAUUGAAACUGAAAAAGAAAAAAAGAAAAUGAUUUCACUGGGAUUUGAACCAGUGACGCAUAGCUUAAUUUCCAAGGGACUUGCUACUACGCCAUCAAUUUCUCUUUAUUAUUGAGGGGGUUCAAAAUAUAUAUAUCUACAGAAAUACAUAAAAUUUACUUUAAUAUACAGUAUAAUUUUUUGCCGAGGGGGUUCGGAUGAACCCCUGGAACCAACGUGGGUUCGCCCCCACUGGGAGGCCCUUGUAGUUGGCUCAGAUUGUCAACUGGACCUUUUACUCACAAUUAUGGUCUCAAAUUUAGUUAAUUUGAUUGUUGAAUCUUAUUUUACUUUAGCGCGUUUGUCUAUCUCUAGUAAAACAGAGGACAGUCUGGUGCACAAAACAUCUCAUGUUAAAGGAUCACAUCCCUAAGGAUGUGAUGUUGACUGUCUACCCUAAUGCAAGCAUUAGUGGCGACUAGAAGUAGUACUUGAUCAAUUCAUGACUGAUUUUUCUUUUUGAUGUGCAGUUAGAAGGAUGGUAUAAUAGAUUGCAAAGGGAUGAAGUGGUUGCAGAAUGGAAGAAAGUUAAAGGGAAGAUGUCCCUUCAUGUUCAUUGUCACAUUAGUGGAGACCAUUUCUUGUUAGACUUUGUUGCUAGGCUCAGAUACUAUAUUUUCUGCAAGGAACUCCCAGUGGUAAGUUUUUAUAGCAAGUCUGAUAUGUAUGGUUAAAGUAAAACAUAAUACAUAAACGUGUCCUUUAACUUGAUCUCAGCUGACAUCUACGUCCUUCAACUUUGAGUGUGCAUAAGUAAACACUUAAACUUGUAUAAAGUUGAACAAGUAAACACAUGUGUCCUAUAUGUGGCAAUUCACUAUGACACCCUAAGUAUAUUAUACCAUCGUAGGACAUGUGUAUCUACUUGUUCAACUUUAUACAAGUUUAAGUGUCUACUUAUGUACAUCCAAAGAUAGAGGGUAUAGAUGCGAGUUGAGAUUAGGUUAAAUGGUACAUUUAUGUAUUAUGUCUUAAAUUAAACUAUUCGUGUAAAAAAAUCUUUAUAUAAUCAAUAUAUAUAACUUACACUAUUCUUUUUGCAUAUGUUCUAGGUUUUGAAAGCAUUUGUUCAUGGAGAUGAGAAUUUGCUAAAGAAUUAUCCAGAGUUGGAAGAAGCUUUGGUUUGGGUAUAUUUUCACUCAAACAUACAAGAAUUCAACAAAGUGGAUUGUUGGGGUCCUUUAAAAGAUGCAUCUUCACUAUCUUCUACUUAUACUACUAAUAAUUCAUCAUCUAGUGAAUUAGGUGAGAUUCAAAUGGAUAAUACAAGCAAUUGCAAUUUGGAUUUACCACAACCAUGUCAAGGGUCUUGUACAUGUUGCUUCCCCUCAACAAGGAAAAUCUAAAGAGCAUUUAAUAUUGAGAAUGUUGGAUGUAGGGGUGUACAUGGUCGGGUUGGUUCGGGUUUAUCAAAUAUUAAACCAAAUUAUUUGUGUCGGAUUUUUAAAUUUAUAAACCAAACCAAACCAAUAAAACUUGGGUUUUUCAACCUCGGGUUUUUUGGGUUUUUUUUGGUAAAGUAUUCAUACAAACAUAUAAUUUACUUGUACUUCAAAUAUUUCUUUAGUCCUACCAAAAUACAACUAUCUAAGGUGUUUCUUAAGAANNNNNNNNNNNNNNNNNNNNNNNNNNNNNNNNNNNNNNNNNNNNNNNNNNNNNNNNNNNNNNNNNNNNNNNNNNNNNNNNNNNNNNNNNNNNNNNNNNNNNNNNNNNNNNNNNNNNNNNNNNNNNNNNNNNNNNNNNNNNNNNNNNNNNNNNNNNNNNNNNNNNNNNNNNNNNNNNNNNNNNNNNNNNNNNNNNNNNNNNNNNNNNNNNNNNNNNNNNNNNNNNNNNNNNNNNNNNNNNNNNNNNNNNNNNNNNNNNNNNNNNNNNNNNNNNNNNNNNNNNNNNNNNNNNNNNNNNNNNNNNNNNNNNNNNNNNNNNNNNNNNNNNNNNNNNNNNNNNNNNNNNNNNNNNNNNNNNNNNNNNNNNNNNNNNNNNNNCCAUUCAUAAUUCUAAGUUUCAAACUUGAAAUAAUAUAUUAAAAGAUAAAAAAACUAUGAUAAAGUAUAAGAAAUAUUUAAAAAUUAUAUCAAAGUAAAUAUUUUUAUGUAUAAAGUAAAAUUUUAAAAUUAUAUAUAUAAUAUCGAGUUGGUUUGGUCUCGGGUUGGUUUUUUUUAGUUAAAACCAAAUCAAUCCAAAUAUAGUCGGAUUUUUUUUUCAAUACCAAAUCAAGUCAAACCAAACCAUUAGUUGGAUUUUUUUUCCGGAUUGAUUCGAUUUUCGAUUUGAUUUUAUACACUCCUAGUUGGAUGUAUUACACACAAGGGGUUUUAACUAGCUUAGUGAAUCAAUUAAAAGACAUUCCAGAACCGAAGUUUUUUCAUCUCCUAGUUGGAUGAUACUACCAGUUAGAAACAUAAGAGCAGAGAAAAUAAAGCUGCAGCGAUAAGUAGACAGAAAUAAUAGUUUAGCUUAGCUACCUGUCCAUCUGGAGAUGUGGCAAGAUAUAAGACUCUAUACGUAUGGCCAGUCAGAGUAGCUACAUAAUGAAGCUAGUGCAACAUGAUAUGUCUAAAAAUAAAUCUCUGUUCAUGUACUUUUCAUGGAGUAACAUUUUGAAAACUUAGGUGAAAUACCUGAAAUUUUUUAUUAUGGUUGAGGCACAAUCAACAAUAGUUGUGUGCGGACACCCUUUCCUUUUGACAAGUGUUUUUGUGGGCCUUUUUCUUGUUGUCACACACACACUCUCUCUUUCACUUCCAUUUUCUCAAAAUUAGUCUUUUCUUUUUCUACAUUUUUUUUCCUUUGCACCCUUUUUUAAUCAAUGUUUUUAUAGUUUUUUUUUUAAGUCCUACCUCUUAGUGCAAAAAAAUAAUAUUCAUACUAUUAUUAUUUUAUGCUUUCACAAAUUCAUUUGGUUGACUCUUUUUUUCUAUUAAUUCUUGUAACACACAAGAGAUAAAAUGAAUUUAUAAAAGUUUCGUUUCACAUUUUAAAACGCUUAAUAUAAAGAAAAUUUAAAAAGAAAAUCUUGAACAAGAAACACAAAAAAUUUAAUAUUAGCAAUAAUUACUGGAUACAUGUCACGGAAGUAAAGAAUUUAACAAAUAUGAAAAAGAAAAGAUAAUUGAGUGCUUGAUAUCAUUAAUACAUUAUUAUUAAUAUAAAGCAUUCAAAUACAUUGAGUGGUUAUAGAAUAAACAAAAAUAAAACAUAUUUGAUAAUUAAGAAUUGGAUGGUUAAAAUUGAAAAUCUCAAAAAAUAAAUUAAUGACUAAAAUUUAAAUAAUUAAAAUUAAAUUGUGGAUUUAAAUGUAAUAAAUAAUAUCGAUUGAAUUUUAGUAGCUCAAUUGGUUAAUUAUAUGAAUUUUUACUUUUUUGUGAGAGUUCAAUUUAUAUAUUUUAGUUUCACUAUCUUCAAUCUCUUCGAAUUUAUUUUAAAAAAAUUAAUUUAAUGUCACCUGACAUAUUACUUUAAUUUUCCAUCAAAUAAAUGACUCCGUGGGUGAGUUCCAAAGUUUCUUUCUAUUAAAAUAAAAUUACAGUAAGAGUUGACAAGCAAAAAAAGAAAAUGCAAGUAAGAAAGAAAAAAGUAAAAGAAUAUAUUAAAAUUGAAAGAGAAAAAGUAAUGAAAUGAAACAAGUAUAAUAUGGCCCCCACAAUAUACAAAUGGCAGCCCAAAAAGGCCUCACACAACGUGUGCCUCAACCAUAAUAAAAAUUUUCCUAAUAUUUGAUUUUGAGUGCUGACUAAUUCAUUUGCGUUCUUCGACCACACAAGAUUGCAAACCUGCCACAAUAUUAGAUGAGUUAGUAUAUCAUAUUUAGUGGCCCUUGUAAAUCUAAAAAUUCAAAACGACACGUUUACAUGUACAAGUAUCUCGCACAAUCCUGUAAUUCUUUUUACAGUACUAACAAGGCAAUAGAACGUUAUCAGAAGAAUGACAAGAAUAUGAGACAUGACAAAAUAUUACUUGAACAGACUACUGAGGUUAGCAUUUUUUUAAUUUAUGCUAUGUUUAUAUGUUAUAUAUAUUAUAUAUAUAAUAUUACCACAUUUGUUGAGAAUAUAAAGUAUAAAAUUAGUUAGUUAGUUGUGAACAGUAAAGUUAGUUAGAAUUCAGUUAGAAUCAAGUUUGUUGAUUAGUGAUUUUGUAUGUAUAUCUCCACAUUGUAAUACUUGUUUUUCUAAUUCACAUUCAAUAAAAGAUAUUUUUUCUCCAUGAGUUUUCUCUCUCGAUUGCUCUCACUCUCGAACUAAUGAGUUCUCCAUUAAUGGAGUUUGGGAGCUCACAUUGUUGAUUUUAUCAUGGUAUCAGAGAACAGGGAAUUGCUCAUAUCCUCUUUCCGCUUCCAUUUCGUUCUGUGAGCUUCAUUUUUCUUUUAUGUGAAUUUUUUGUUUGAUCUGGUUGUUGUCGACUCGAUCUUCGAUCUGUCAGUUUCGUCUUCCUUUUAUGUGAAUCCUAUUUGAUCUGGUUGUUUUCAACUUGAUCUUCAAUUCACCAUGGUUGAUUCUUCAGCUGAUUCGAUUCCAAAUGCUUCUGCAUCUACUGUUAGGGUAGAAAUCCCUAGUCCUUUUCUACUUGCUAUCCAUCUAGAGAAUUGCGAGUUCAAUCCCUAUUACCUGCAGUUUUCGAUGGGACUGGUUACAGAUCCUGGAGAAGAGCAGUUCUCAGGGCUUUGUCUGUUAAGAGCAAGACAAGAUUCAUUAAUGGGAAGGUUGUGAGACCUGAUCCUACUGAUCCUAGCUUUCAGCAAUGGGAAAUGUGUGAUGAUAUGGUCACAUCUUGGAUCUUGAACUCCUUGUCACCAGAUCUGCGUGAUAGUCUGCAGUAUGUCAACAAUGCUCAGGAACUUUGGGGAGAAUUAGAAGAAAGAUACGAUCAAACCAAUGGUUGUAAAUUGUACCAGCUUCAAAAGGAGAUUAAUGACCUUGUCCAAGGCACUCUGGAUAUCACUGGUUACUACACCAAAAUGAAGAAACUCUAGGAAUAAAUGAGCACUGUCGAUAUCAGCUCUCAGUGCAAUAGUGUGUGCACUUGUGGUGGUAAAACAAAAUUGGUUAAGGCUGAACAAGAUCGCAGGCUUAUACACUUUCUAAUGGGUUUAAAUGAGAUGUAUACUGCAGUCCGAGGCAACAUUUUCAUGAUGAAUACUCUGCCAAGUAUGGCUCAGGCUUUUGCCAUCUUGUGCCAAGAAGAGAAGCAAAAGGAAGUAAAACCUCACAACUACACUGCCUUGGAUUCAACCUCUCUCAAUGUUUUUGCCUCGUCUAACAAUGUUGNNNNNNNNNNNNNNNNNNNNNNNNNNNNNNNNNNNNNNNNNNNNNNNNNNNNNNNNNNNNNNNNNNNNNNNNNNNNNNNNNNNNNNNNNNNNNNNNNNNNUAUAUAUAUAUAUAAUUUUUCAUCAUAAAUAAUUAAUUUUUUAUAAAUUUUUUACAUAUAAUAUAUUUUUGGUAAAAGUUUGAGGCCCCCAAUUUGCAUAUGCCUUAUUUUCUUACUGUAUAGAGCCGCCCCGACAAGAAAUCCUUGUACUAUCUUGACAGAUCAAAAAAAAUUACAAAGUUCUCUUGUCCAAAAUACUCGUUCUUCCUUCAUGGAUACCUCUCUUUAGUUAAAUUUUUCGAUCAUGUUAACAACUUUACAAGCUCUAGAUUGUUAACUAGGAUCGGAAGGUUUAACUAAAGAAGAGGAAGCAUGAAAGAAGAAAGAGGAUUUGGAAUAAUAGAACUUUGUAAUGAAAAGAACCAGAAUUAGCUUGAAUUGAUUUUUCUUGAAUUGAUUACAAAAGUCUAAUGCCGGCCCUAUUUAUACACGUCUAUUGAUGCUUCUAGAUAUAUCUACAAGAAUUUUUUUGAUAACUUUAUCUUUCAACCAUCUUAAGAAGAUUCUAGAAUUUUUAAAUCUAUCUUUAAGAUAAAUAUCUAAGAUAUUACAAUCGAUCAUUCGAGAAGCUUCCUAACAAAUCUAAGGUUUUUUGUUGUUUCAAAAAAUUACAUUCAGCUUUUUCAUAUUCCCGUGGUAAUAUAUAUAAUUAUUGAAAUAUGCAUUAUAAUUGUUUGCAACAAAUUUUAAAUAUAUGGAAAUAAAUCAAACAUAAAUAAAAUAUGAAGAAAUAAGAAUAUUAUUAAUAAAAUAAUAUGGGUACAAUUAUGUUUCUCUUUUGAUUCUUGUCUCUCUUAAGAGUUAUUCGUGAUUCGAGGAUCAUUCGUGGCAUAUUUUUCGAACUAGGCUAAUUUGGAAUAGAUCUUUAUGAAAGGAUUUGUGGAUCUUUUUAAAAUAUUUGAUUGUCAAGAAUAGUCUAAGAAUAUUUUGAUCUCUUUAUGGGAUAUCCGAGAUGUCAUUUGGUGAAUCGAUGAAGGUUGGAUUUCCUCUUCCCCAAUCCUCAAUUUCUUUAAAGUCAAAAAGAUAUAUAUGUACCGACUGGCGGAGUCGGAAAUUUCGUCAAGAGUGUUCAAAUUUUAAAAGAGUGAUUUAUUUUUAGCAAAGUGGGUGCACAAUUUUAUAAUUUUUUUUACUGAUGAAUGGGUGCAUCCAAAUUUAAAAUUAAAUUACAUAUCAUCUAACUAAAUCAUACGAAAACUUAAAUUACAAUACUAUCAAUGGUCUAAGUCAAAAUUAACAGAGAAAAGUCGAUAAAAACAAUUUCAGCUACUAGUUGAAUACACUCAGGUGAAUUGUUGGGACUUUUUCAUAAUUUAAAAUAAGUGAAUUUUUUUAUAGUUCAAGAGAAUCGUUGAAACUUUUUGCUACUGGACAACUAUUUCUGUUUCUUUCUGUUUUUUUAGAGACAGGAAUCGAACUUGGGACCUUAUAACACUCUUAAAUGAGUACGCUUACCACUAGACCACAAACCUUUGUUGUGUUUAAGAGUGUUCAUUUAUUGAUAUAUCCACCUAUUAAAGAAUAUUUUAGGCUGGCCAGCCUUCACCGACUCUAUCCUAAUAUUCCCUUUGAGUGAACUUGUGUCUAGGUUUAGAGAAAUAACAAAGGGUGGCUAAGAGAAAAAGAGUGAAUCUGGGGUCCUUGUUAUAUCAAUAAGUUAACAAAGGAGUAUUCCUUUGUGAUACAAUGACAUGGAGAGUAAAAAUAAGCCAAUUGAAGUGGGAACGCAGACUUUUGAUAGGAAACUAGUGACAAGGGAGACCUUUACUCCGAAUGUGGAAUUUGCCGAUGUAAAUUUGGAUUUAGUUGAACUCCAAUAUGGGUAUCGGAUAUCGGAUGAAAAACAAAAAAAAAGUAUUUCCCUAGGGUGGUUAGACAACUCUUCUAACUAAAUUACAAAUCUAGUGAAAAAACCAAUGAAGGUUGAUAUAUAGUUCAAAUACUAUAAAAGAAAGACUAAUAUAUCUUUGAACCCAAAUAUUUAUUAUGAGUGAUGGUCUAUAUUUUGUAAUAUUGCAAGAUAUUUAAACAUGAUACAAAAAGAGUGCAAAAAGUUGAUUAGGGAAUUAAGAUACCAAAUAGGGUAAACAAAUGGGUAAGCCUAGUCAUGAAAAGACACUAGAAAGGGAAAAGAGGAAAAGACAUGGGCAAAAUCCAAUGAUCUAACAACAACUCACCAUUCCAAAAGAAAGAUAAUGAAGUCAUAGAUACAAUUGAAUGCCAACAUUGGUCUAUUUGGACUCUUUAUCACACCAACCUAGAGGAAGAAUAUGGAUAGUGCACAAAAUUACUAUGUACCUUAUAUUUUGUUAAUAUAGUGCAAUUUACCUUGCAUUAUGAAGUCCAACCAAGAGGCACUAAACACCUUUUCAAUGUGACUAAAAUUUCAGGCUCUUAGGAUUCAAACAUAGGAAUCAUUAAUUAAUAAUUUCAUACUAGAUUUCAAGUCAGAUGCAACUAGAUACAUGUAUUUUUUUCUAUCAGAUACAUUAAAAUAGGGAGAGAGACGAGCGAGAUUGGAUAGAGGUGAGCAAGAGAAUACAUGUAAAUCCACUUGAAUACAGUGUAUCUUGAACAAAUUACACCUAAUUUUGACCUCAUACAUCCAUCCAAGAUAAUGUAAAGGCUCUUAGGAUUCAAACAUAGAGGCAUGGCAUUGUUAAAACGGCUUAAGAUAUAAUGGGGGAUUCAAGUUAGUACAAAGUCAGCGGCGAUGUUAUAAAUUUUAUCAAGGUUGUUCAAGAUUUAAUAUAUUACAUAUGAAAAGUUUGAUUUGUAUACUUCGUAAAAUUUUCUAUAUACAUAAUAUAACUUUUUAACAAAAGAUGUUCAACUGACCAUUCUUCACGUCAUUUUUCUUUUCCAUUAUUGUAGAGUAAAAUGUUGGAGAACUAAUAGUGUGAGUUUCUUCAUUUUUUUCUUUUCUUUUUACAGUACUAACAAGACAAUAGAACGUUAUCAGAAGAAUGACAAGAAUUUGAGACAUGACAAAAUAUUACUUGAACAGACUACUGAGGUUAGCAUUUUUUCAAUUUAUGCUAUGUUUAUAUGUUAUAUAUAUUAUAUAAUAUUACCACAUUCAUGUGGAUAAUUAAUAACAUGGAAAAUGCUGUAAUCAACCCAAAAUUAGUGCUCUUUAAUUGAUAUUAUUUCUGAUUUAAGCCAGAUUUUUGAAGUACUAGGGGAUUAAUUAGGGUUUAAUGGAGUUUGGGAGCUCACAUUGUUGAUUUUAUCAACAUUCAUGUGGAUAAUUAAUAACAUGGCAAAGGCUGUAAUCAACCCAAAAUUAGUGCUCUUUAAUUUAUAUUAUUUCUGAUUUAAGCAAGAUUUUUGAAGUACUAUGGGAUUAAUUAGGGCAUCUUUUAUAAUAAACCCAGCCACAAUCUUGAAUAGUGUAAUAUGAUUUGCUAAACACUUGUGAAUAUCUCAGGGGUAUAGCUAGGUAUGGCGAGGGGUAGUCAAUUGAAUAUCUUUCGUAGAAAAAUUAUACAUGUACUUUUCAUACAUAUAUAUUAAACUUUGAAAAUAUCUUGAACAUCUUUAACGAAAUUUUGUACUUCCCUACUGGAAUAUUCAAUCAGAGUUGUAUGUAUAACAACAACAACAACAUACUCAGACUAAUCACUUCUCUCCAAUACUUCUUCGGCCUAUCUCUACUUCUUUCACACCUGCUAUAUUAAGCCUCUGGCACCUCUUUACUGGGGCAAUAUUGCGCAUCUCCUCUUCACAUGUCCAAAUUAUUUUAGUCUUGAUUCCCUCGUCUUGUCCACUAUGGCGGCCGCCAUUCCGGCAUUGUCACUAAUAUUACUCCUAGUGUGCCCGCACAUUCAUCUCAACAUCCUCAUUCCGCGACUUGCAUCUUCUGAAUGAACUUGAAAAGGUUGAAGGACAGCUAGAUCAAAGUUUAAGAAAUAUUAGGGCAAAAAGGUAUGUAUGUACAAAUAGAGAUCUAAACGCACUUGUUUACAAUUUUUUAAAAGUCUGAACAAUACAUAAUUUAAGUGUUUUCAUUCAUCAGAUACAUAAUUUAAGAAUAACUUUUGAAUUUAGUAAUUUUAAACUUAAAAUAUAUGUAAUAUACUAAAAUACCCAUUGAAUCAUAUGCUCUUUAAACAUGACAAGUAUAAUAUAUAGAGUAUAAAAAUACAUUUUUUUCCCCCUCAUAAAUUGAAACUCCCCCCCACCCCAACACUCACCUCUCUGUGUGCCACACACUCUUUUGUGUGUCCAUGUGGAUGCUAACUUAUCAAAUCAUAAUCUAUACAGAUUUUUUAAAUAUCUGAUUUUAAAGAUAUAAUUAUAUUACGUGGUUAUAAAUUUCUUGGAACUUAUGAUGUUUAAUAGGGGCAGACCCACCCUUGAAUAAGGGGUGUCAAGCUCUUGACACCUCUUCGUCGGAAAAUUAUAUCGUAUAUAGAGUCAUAUUUUGGUUUAAUAAAUAUAUAUAUAAGUAUUGACAUCUCUUGACACAAAUUAAAUGUUUAAUCUAGUGGUUAACGUGUUGUGAAAAUUUCUUGAGAUUGUAUGUUGUAGUCAUAAUUAUAUUUUUUGCUAUAACCAUUGAUACCCCUUAAUGUCAAUCUUGGAUCUGUUACUGAGAUUAAACAUAUCAUAAUAUUUAUGUAUAGCUAUAAAGUCUUUUUAAGUGAAAUAAAAGGUUUAAACUAAAUUGUUUCCAAAUUUAAAAAGAAAUCAUACUUUUGUAAAACCGAUUAAAAGAAAAUAGAUUCAUGUAAAUUGAAAUAAACGGAGUAAUAACAUAAAGUGAAUCUUUUACAAUGGAAUUAAUAUUUUUGUGUUUUAUAAUUCCAGAACCAGCUAUUCAAGGAACAAAUUUCUCUUCUAAAAGACGAGGUAAAAUGCAUUAGUAUAUAUUAUUGUAUCCAUAAAAUCAGUUUAUUUAUUUUUAUUUUAUUUACAUUUCAAUUUUUUUUUAAAUUGAGAAAAUCGCGUAAUAAUUGCUUUAUUAUAAUUUUCCUUGGUUCUUUUGUCCCAGGAAAAGUACUAAUGGAGAAAAAUGCAGAAUUGCGGGAAAAGGUAAAAUAUAACUUUAUAAUUCACUUUUUAUAUUUAGCAACUUUAGAUUUAAAGAUUAAUAAAAUUUGAUCAAAUUAAGACACAUAAAAUAAAAUGAAUGAAAUAAUAUGUUUAAGCUAUGUUUAAAGGUUAACAAGAUCGAUCAAAUUAAGACACCUAAAAUAAAAUAAAUGAAAUAAUAUUUUUAAGCUAGGGAGACAACAAGAACCUCAAGUUUAGAUAACUUUACAUUCUUUUACCUUAACAUGUUGCCCUACCACAUUGUUGCCAAAUUUUGAGUUAAUUUGUAUAUAUUGACAGUAUAAUUAUUAUUAUUUUACUUUUAUUUGUAACUUGUUACCGUAGGAUAUCGAAAUAAUUUUUUGAAUCCUUAAUUUUACAUGUUAAAGGUUUUUACUUGUAUUUUUAUAUUAAUUUUUUUUACCUAAUAACACAUUGAAACUCUAUUCGUGUGCAUCUCCUAAAAUUUCUCAUGGAUCAAUGAUAUACAAGUUAAUCUAAAUUUUGGAAGAAUCGAAAUGAAUUUAGCGAGUCAUAUUUUGAUUGAAUAAUCAUUCAAUAUUUUUUAAUUUGUUAUUACAGUAUGAGGCUCGACCGCUGCCUUUAUUUAUUGAUCGACAAGAAGAUGAAAGUCCUCAAGCACGAAAAAUGUAGGUAGAUACGCAACUAUUUAUUGGACUUCCUGAAAGAUGACUAAAGACGAAGUCAAGAUUUGAAGUUUAUGGAUUUAAGAAUUUUGUUUACUUGAAUCACUUUAUUCUAAAUUAAAAAUUUAUAUAUAUUCAACAGUUUUCUUGAAACAAAUAUAGAAUUUUAAUCAAAGUUAUUAAGUUAGGCUGAUUCUGUAAUUUAUGUACUAGCACCGCUUCAUUAAUUACAAGCUUUUGUGACUGCCAUUUAAUUCACUUGAUGACCAAAAAUAAUAACAACAAAAAAUAAAUUAAUCAUCAAUGUUUUUAGUUAAGCACGACUAUGGUCAAUAAUCCUUUUUUAUUAAGUCCUUUAAUAUCAUCUUAAUGAAAGGUUAGCUGAUCGACUAAAACAAAUGUCGAGAGGAUUAAGAUCUUGUAAAUUUGAGAGGAUUAACUAAUGGUAACUUAAUCUAUCUGAUUAACGAUCUCAUGAAUUAUGUUUAUAUGCACAACAACAAAUUAUUAGUUAAUUAAAUAUGAAGUAUUAAAAUUAUAAAAGUUCAUAAAAGUUUUAAGCUUCACUAAUUAUUCGGUAAGUUUGAUCUUAUUUUAUCUAGAUCUAGUUGGUUCAUAGUUCAAGAAACACCAAAUUCGACGCAUUAUAUUCAUUGUGAAGACUAGCAAAAUUGCUUACCUCAUAUAUAUUGGUAAUGUAAAAAAAAUACUUCAUGAAACAGAGGCAAAACUAGAAUUUAAAAUUUAUGGAUUCGCUACUUGAUCCCCCCAAAAAGAAGGAAGUCGCGGUCGAAUUUAAAUUCUGGAAAUAAGUUGGGGCCCUUUACCAAGUCUACUAGAUAGAAGAUGAUAGAGGGACAAAAGUACGGUGGAGGUUGGUUGAAGAUGAUGUUACGCGGCGUUCGAAAUCAGUCUUAGCUUGAAGUGAAUGAAUUAUAAAGAAGUAAGGAAAAGAGAAAACUCUUUCUUGAUCUAUAUCAUAAACAAAUCUUCCCCUCCACACCAAUCACGAUUUUUCUCUAUUCCUUGAUUGCAAGACCCACCCGUCGAGCAGGAACGAAAGUCGACCUUUGUGAUCCGACGGCGCCGAGUGGAAGGGUCGUCGCUCAACGGAUAAAAAUUCUAGAUAACAAGUUGAUCUUCCCCAAAAGUUCACAUUGACAGAAAGGUUUGGCACCUCGAUGUCGGCUCUUCGCCACCUGGGGUUGUAGCAUGUUCCAAGGGUUGGGUUGUUCGCCCAUUAAAGCAGUACAUGAGCUGAGUUCAGAACGUCGUGUGAUAGUUCAGUCCAUAUCUGAUGUGGACGUUAGAGCAUUGAGAAAACCUUUCCCUAGUCCGAGAGGACCAGGAAGGACGCACCUUUGGUGACGCUGGGUAGGCAAGUGUGGAGCGGAUAACUGCUGAAAGCAUCUAAGUAGUAAGCCAAUCCCAAGAUGAGUUCUCUCAUAGUCCUGAUAUUAUCUCAAAUUAAUUAAUACAUAUUAAUAAUUUAAUUUACAAUCAAAUAGUUAUAGAUAUUUACUAUAGAUUUUUGAUAUAUACACAAAUUUUGAACAAAAAAUAUUUAAUAAGAAAUCGCCUCUAUUUGUCGAUAUAAUUUAACUUGUUGCAAUAGGGUAUCUGAACAAUUUUUCAAAUUCCUUAUUUUCACUUUUAUAAGAUUUUGCCUGUAAUUUUUAAAAAAUGACCUAAUGAUACACAUUCAAACUCUAAACGAGUUAGAAACUUCGAAUAGCUCUAGGCGUUAAAUCAAUUUCAUAAAUAUAUAGUUAGAAACAUUGCUUCUUUAUGGAAAUGACACAACUUUUUUGUGUAGUCUAAUACUCCUAGUAGAGUUGCACCUCCAUUUGUAGUAUAUAUAUUGUAACAGACUAACAAAUGUUCAAUUAAAUAAUAAUUUUUAUUAGCUACUUUAACGAGAAGGUAUUGAUUGACACCCUUCAAGAAUUACAUCAGCAUCAAAGGACCCCGGUCUGAAAAUAUACCACGUUGGUUAAGGUUAAAAACGAAAAGGAUAGUACCUGAGGUAAUUAGAAAAUAAUAAAAACAUGCAUGCUUUGUCAUUUCUUUUUAUUUUCCAAAAUUGUAUUAUUGUCCUUCAUUUCUCAUCCUUGUAUUGAGUUUUUUUUUAAGUCCAUACAUUGAACCUAAAAUUUUUGGACUAUAUGGUAAGAUAUAUUAGUUUCUGUAAGAUUAUGGGUCCAACUAAGUUUGUGGUUGAUAACACGCAAGAAAAAUAUGAUAUUAAAAUUAGGUAUAAUUUAUUUUAAAUAUAUUAUAUUCAAGUAGAGUUUUAUGUAUCUAAGAUAUAUUGACAAAUUUUCCUCGCCUUCUUCCGAUCUCACUCACCACUCUCCUGUGUAUUUAGUAUCUCAGAUAUACAUGAAUUACACCAGAUACAUAUAUAUACAUAUAUUUAGUGUAUUCACAUGUAUCUGUAAUAAAUGACUAUUUCGCUCAUCUCCCUCCUCAUCUCGCUCACCUCUCUCCCUAUUUUAGUGUAUAUCUUGUAUAAAAAAUACAUGUAUCUUCCUCAAUAUAUGGUAAGAAAUAACUCUUAUUUAAUGUGAAGAGAUGUAACUAUAUAAAAGUAUAGAUAGAAUUAUGGUUCGAGUGUAUGUCUAAUAAGUUAAUUUUUCCUUCUUUUUCUCAUAAAUCUAAUGUGAAGAGGUCUAUAAUUAAAAUAUCUUUCUUCAUUACAGUUGAUUUUUUUAUUCAAAAUAGCUACAAAAUUUAUACAAAUUUUUGAGGCAUUCAAAAUAAUAAAGUAUAACCUAGUCUUUUCAUCAGAUAGGUUGAUUUCUCAUGUUGCAACUCGGAGAUAAUGAAGAUUCUAUUUUUUUGGAAGUGGUCCAGCUUUAGUGAUUUUUCCUUUUCUGAUAUUUUUCUUUAGAUUUAUUUGUUUCCUAUAUUUUAGAAAUAGCACAUAUAAUAGACAUAAUAAGGUUCUAUAGCUAUAUUUUUAAUAAUUGUGUUUCAUACCUAUAGUUCUAUUUGCUAUGCGUUACGGUUUGUAUAUUUUACUUGUCCAUUUGUAUAUUUCGCUUGCAAAUAUACAAACAUAAUAAGUAUAUACAAAUGGAGGCUAUAGUUUGUAUAUUUCGCUUGUCAAUAUAUAAACAACGUAAUUUAUGAUGAAUUUUUCAUAAGUCGUAUACAAAUAGUUAAGGUAAGCAUAUACAAAUUUUGUAUUUAUACAAUUAGGAAAUCGAGUAGCAAAAUUUUGUUAAACUGUAGCCAGAGAUUAAAAUAAUCAAAACUAUAGUUAUAUUAUAUAAUAUACCCUAAAUGUUUAUCAUGUCGCGUAAUUUUUCCUUUCAAAAAAAAUAUACACUAAUUAAAUUAAAGGUAAACUACAUAAAUUCCACUAGUUUAGGACCUAGUUAUUAGAAUUCAAGAUAGUUUUAAUAAUUACAUCAUAUACCAUAUUUUGUCUGUCGGAUACUCGCGAGAUACAUGUAUCUGAUGGUUUGAAUUAAAGAGAUACAUAUUUUAAUAAUUUUGAAUUAAAUGUGUGUAACCUAUUUCCUUAAAUAAAUGAGUAAUUUAGGCUUAAUUAAUAAUUCUAACUGAUUUGCAGAUUCAUUAACAUAUCAAUUCUAACAAAUCUUCCUAAAAUAACGAAAUCCUAAAACCACAAGAGUUCUCUAAUUGAAAACUUCAUCUUCUUGGCAAUAGGUUUGAAAAUCGUGGACAACCAUGGGAGCAAGCUUGAUCUUUUCUUAAUCUCAAAUGCUAGAAGAGACAGUUAGUUUAUGUAUGGAAUGUUAUUUUUUACCCGACAAUACUGAUAGAUACAUGAUAGUAAACAACUAAGUAUUUAAUAUUGUUAGAUAUGGUAUUGAUUAUCGUUUCUAUGCUUUAUUUAUAAUAAGAUACAUUUUGUUUAUGUUAGAUACACAUAUAUUUUUGUUGUUCAUAUACAUGUGAAGGGUAGUGGCUCAUAUAAUUGAUGUGAACUGUCAGAUAUACUGUUAAUUCUCUAAACUAGUUGAUAUGAAUUUUAAGUUAGAUACAUAGUAAUUCAUUGAUUUUUUGACAGUUUCAGAUAUAUUAUUUAUCAUAUUAGAUACAUGUAAUUUAACACUAUAGAAUACAUAUAAUAACAUGCUUAGAUACAUGAAAUAAUCAAAUCAAAUACACACUACCAUAUAAAAAUACCUUGACUGAAACAUAUUAAAUAUAUGAAAUAAAAACUAUGAUACAUAAAAUGAAUUGUAUGACCAUAUACAUUGCAACUAAAAUAAUAUACUGGGGGUGCGGAUAGACAAUUUAUAGAGAAGGUUGGGGGAGGGACUUGAUGAGACAGAAAGGUAUUUGGACCAUUAAUUUUGAUUUUUUAAAUGUAAAUAUAAUUAAUCAAUUCUAAUUUUAAGGGUUUAUCUAAUUAUAUUUUUUUAAAUAUAUGAUAUAAAAUAUUAAAAAUGGUAAUAUAUGUAAUUGUUUGAAAGUAGAUAUGGUAUGAAUGUAUGUCUAAUUAGAUAGUUUUCCCUUAAAUUAAAGCAAAACAAAAGAUACAUUUUAUUACUUUUUUUGAAAAUGCUUUUAUUGAAGCUGGCACACGACACGUCGAUGAGACUUUACUAUCUAAAUAGAAAUAAUAAUAAUAGUUAAAUAGAAAUAUUAACGUGUACUAUUAUUUUUAUAUAUGUAUAUAUGAUGCUUUAAGUAAAUUUUGAGUUUGAAUUCCUUUUUUUAUUUAGCACUUAUUUUUUAAUAUUGUGCAUUAUUUUUAUUUGACUUACAGACCAAUUUAUUCAACAUUUCUCAAGCCCUAUGAACCAACAGACUUCUUAGGAUCAAGCUAAAAAAAUCUUAUUUUUAAAUAGUCUCAAAAGAUUUCAACUUUAUUAAAUUACGAAUUAGACCAUGUUGAACCAACAGACCCAACCUAUAUUGUAGGCUUUAACUUUUAUAUGAGCACAUGUAAAAAAUGGAGAAAUAUCACUUCUUAUCUUUUCAUAUACUGUAUGUAUUAUGAAAAAAUGUUUCAUCUUAUUAAAUAAUGUGUAUGUAGAGUCAAAUCGAUAUUUAUAAUUUCAGUACUAUUUCUAGAAAUGUAGGUCAGGUUGGUGUCCUGGCCUUGCAAUAAUUUUGCACCCAUAAGGCGUGGAUCAUACUUAUUGACUAUCGAUGAACUGAUUUGAUUUUUUCAAUAUUAAAUAUUUAUUUUUUAAAAAAACAUAUAAAAAGAAUCAUGAUCAUAUAAAAAAUCGUUUUACUGAAAUUUGAACAGUACUACGUAAAUUGAUAAGAACUAGUAUGUCAUAUUAAUUUAUCGGCUUUGAAAAAGUUCUAGCAAUUAGAGUUAAUUUCUUAAUAAGGUCAUUAAAUUAUGAAAAAAUUAUCUGGUAAAAUAAUUGAACUUUAUUUUGUAUCAAUAAAAUCACUCAACUUAAGGAUAUUAUCUUUAAUUACAUUUAUCUUUAAAAUAAUUUGAUAUGACAAAAUAAAUUAUUUUAUAUGUCACGUAAAUAUAGACCCAACAAAGAAAAAAUCAUUAUGCUUCUUCUUCUCCUUUUUUUUCUUUAAAAAAAUUAUCAUUAAAAUAAAUUUAAUAAAUUUAAAAUGACAAAUAUAUUAUUUUAUAUGGUGUGUAAACAUCAAAUUUAUUGCUCUCAAAUUUAUCGAUAUGCCUGUCUGGCAGCUACACAUAUAUUUAAUUUUUUUUUCUUUCAUUUUAAUUUAUUUGUCUUAUUUUUAAAUUUGUUAUAUAUUUAAAAAUUGUGAAAAAAUUACUUAUAUAUAAACUACUCCCUCCGUCCCUUUUUAGUUGUCCACUUUAGAAAUGGCACACAUAUUAAGGCAACAAUGAUUAGCACAGUGAAGUUACAAUUUUACCCUUAUGACAACUUUUCACUUCAAAAUUACAACCACUUAUUUGAAUUCAAGUGAAAUAAAUUGGAGGGAAACAACAUACACUUUUACAAUUUUCAAGAAGUGUAAAUAAGGGUAUAAUAGGAAAAAAUUUGUUGUCCUUUCUUGAUUUGUCAAAAUGGACAACUAAAUAGGGACAACCAAAAAAGGAAAUAUGGACAAGUAAAUAGGGACGGAGGGAGUAAUAUAUAAGUGGGGAUACCAGACAGGUCAUGGUAUGACCUGUCUGUCUGACAGCUACACAUAUAUUUAAUUUUUUUUCUUUUAUUUUAAUUUAUUUGUUUUAUUUUUAAAUUUGUUAUAUAUUUAAAAAUUGUGAAAAAAAUUACUAUAAAUCAUGUUAAUUGACAAUUUCAAAUAUUUUCUAAUUGUUUAUAAGAAAUUCGAUUCAUUCAUAAAAUUAAACUAUUUGUGUCAUAUAAAAUGAGACAAAAUAGGUAAUAUGUAUUAUUUAAUUUGGAGAUUACAUAAAGAGUAUUGUAAAUCUAAAUAAUUUACAACAUUUGAUUGACCCUUAAAAUUCUAUUUGUGCUACAUAUAUUGAGACAAGAGAAGUAACAUAUAUUAUUUAUAAAUUACGUAAAAAGUACUAUAAAUUACAAUCAUUAACAAUUAUAAAUAUUUAAAAAUCAUAUUAAAAUUUAAUUAAUCCUCUAAAUUCUAUAUUUUUGUCAAGUUUCAUUAUAAGGGACUUGAUAAUGUUCAGGAUCUUUAGUGAUUAUGUGACCUUUUCUUUUUUGGCAUUUAAUAUUUUAUUUAAUACUAUGAGAUUCAAAUAAAAAUAAGAUUUUUUCUGAUUGAAUUGCAUCGUUUAUCACGCUUCUUUGGUAUAAUUUAUUUGAGGCCUUUAUUUGACUUGGACAAAAUAUCUAGUCCGUACUGUUACUCCCUGACACAUUUUAAAAAUUUUUAUAAAUAAAAGAAUAAUUUUAUUAUAUCAUUUCUUAAAUAUAAUAAAUACAAUAUUUUAAAAAAUGUACUAUAAUUAAAGAUAAAGGUAAUUAAAAAUUAAGUGUAAAAUUACCUAUAAAUUUCAUAAAAUGGACAACUAUUGUUAGACAUUUAUUUAUAGUAUAGUGGACAAGUAUUAGUGGACAGAGGAAGUAUAAUAGAUUGUAUGUUCCUUGUUAUAUAUCAAAUUUAUUAUACUGAUAAAUGUAAUAAUUGAAAAGAAAAUUGAAUAAGAAAUAUCCAAUAUUUAAACCAUAAAUUAUAUGUAAUCAGUCGAAUUUACUGCUUAUUUUUUUCUAAAACGAUGUAAAUAUAUUACUCUAUACAUUUAUUAGUUGGAUAAGUGAUAAAUUAAAAUUAAUUUAUUAUUUUAAUUAAAUUAAACUAUUAACAUUAAAAAAAAUAUUCUUUUAAGUAGUAGGGUCAAAUAAGGAAACUAGUGUUGUCGACUAGUAAACGUCCACGUGUCUAUAGUUAUCGUGCACCCAACCCCGACAACAACGCUAGAAGCAACCGCUACUUCUAAUAUUCUGAAUCUAUUCGUUUUAAUUUAUUUAUCUUAUAUAAUUUGAUAUAAAAUAUAAUGAUUUUAAAAAAAAAUUAUAGUUUUAAUUUAAAGAUUGGUAGAAUAUAUCAAAAUAUAUGUAUAAUCUUAAAACUUGUUAUGUGAAGAGUCAGAUUCAAACAUAUUGUCAUAUGAAAAAUAUUAAUUAAACAUAUCAUAAGCAGUGGCGGAUGCAGGAUUUCCAUCGAGGGGGUUCAAAAAGAUAAGUAAGCACACUAUUAGUAUCCAUAUAAGCGGGGUGGGCGGAGCGGGUCAAAUAUAAAUGGGUCGGAUCAGAUAUAAGCAACUAAAAAAAUAUUCAACCCUACCUCAACACAACAAUAAAAUCGAGUAAGUAAAUGUUUGAUAUAACAUUAAAAUAAGUAUGAGAGAAUGUAUUUUUUAAAACUAUAUGGGUCUUGUCUCUGUCAUUGUUGUAUAUAAACGUUAUUUAAUUUUUGAAACUAACUAAGGAAUACUUCUAAAUCCAAUAAUAUUGUAGCAAUAAAAUUCGCUUUCGCGACAAUUGUAUUUAUUUAUAAAUUUUAAAUGAUUACUCUUAUUUGUUUAAUCUUACUUAUAAUUAUUUUAUUCCUUAAUCAAAUAUAAAUUAAACGUUUGACUUAAAAUGAGUAUGGGAGAAUGUAUUUUUAAUUUUAAUUAUGAAAACAACGUUAUAAGUUUUACUUAAUUUUAUAAAAAUGGAAAAUAAAUUUAUUUUUUAAUAUCUAAUAAAAUAGUAUAAAUCUCAAAAAUAUGGGGAAAACGCUGUUACAGGGAGUCGAACCCGCGACCCAACACUUAUAUUGCGAAUUCUUGAACCCCCUUCACCACUGAGCCAAGACCUUAGCUUAUGUUCAGGGGGUUCAUCACUUGGUAUAUACAUAUAAAUCAAAAAACUAAUCCUAUAUAUACCGUGUAAUUUUUCCAACCAAGGGGGUUCGGAUGAACCCCCUUGGAUCCAUGUAGAUCCGCCCAUGAUCAUAAGUUGCUAAUGUCAUGUGAAAAAUUAGAAUAAAAGAGUUAACAAAUAUAUAUAUUUCUUCUUCUUGAUACAUAAAAUCAAUAACAUACUCACUCAUAAGUGGAGUAUGUGGACGAAUAACAUAUAUACAGGUCUUUUUAUAUUAUUGUUUUACUUAUAACAACUAAACGAAAUCUAAAUAUGAAAUGUCAUUAUACUUAAAUAACAACAUUUUACUUUUGAUAGUUAUGAAAUUUCAAGCAAACGUUGCUACUCUAAUAAGGUAUCCUUCAUUUUUUUAUUUUUUUUUUCUUUUUCAUCAUUUUCAACAUACAUACACGUAUGAAUACUAAUCUUUUAAUUGGACCAUAGAAAGUCAAAAUAUAAAAAUUUAAAAAGAAAAGGCGACUACGUAAGCAAGUAACCAAAAUUCCUAUACCCCUAACUACAAAUUUAAAAACUAUAUAAUAUACAACUUCAUUCUCAACUUUAUAUUUCCCCUACAACUUAGGAGCUUAAAAGAAAUAUAGUAUAACUUUGAUCCAUCAUUUUUUUCUUGAUUUCCAAAUAUGAGUACUUUGACAACUUCUUUUCUUCCAUCACUUGAAAAAGAAAAUUCUCUUUUUGUUUACACAAGAAGAAGAAGAAGA
rnacentral:lncRNA from 1 species